rnacentral:tRNA from 1 species
AAAGGUAUACAGCUCAGUGAUAGAGCGCUUGCUUAGCAUGCACAAGGCUCUGGGUUCAAUCCCCAGCACCAUGA